GAUGAACGCUGGCGGCGUGCCUAAUACAUGCAAGUCGAGCGAACAGAUGAGGAGCUUGCCCCUCUGACGUUAGCGUCGGACGGGUGUGUAACACGUGGAUAACCCACCUAUAAGACUGGGAUAACUUCGUGAAACCGGAGCUAAAUCCGGCAUAUUUAUUGAACCGCAUGGUUCAAUAGUGAAAGACGGCUUUGCUUUCACUAUACAUGGAUCCGCGUCGCCUUAGCUAGUUGGUAAGGUAACGUCUUACCAAGGCCACGAUGCGUAGCCGACCUGAGAGGGUGAUCGGCCACACUGGGACUGAGACACGGUCCAGACUCCUACGGGAGGCAGCAGUAGGGAAUCUUGCGCAAUGGGCGAAAGCCUGACGGAGCAACGCCGCGUGUAUGAUGAAGGUCUUCGGAUUGUAAAAUUCUGUUAUUAGGGAAGAAGAGAGGUGUAAGUAACUAUGCACGUAUUGACGGUACCUACAGAGGAAGCCACGGCUAACUACGUG
rnacentral:rRNA from 1 species